rnacentral:rRNA from 1 species
AAGCCAAGCUUGCUUGGUGGAUCAGUGGCGAACGGGUGAGUAACACGUGAGCAACCUGCCCUGGACUCUGGGAUAAGCGCUGGAAACGGCGUCUAAUACUGGAUAUGAGACGUGAUCGCAUGGUCGUGUUUGGAAAGAUUUUUCGGUCUGGGAUGGGCUCGCGGCCUAUCAGCUUGUUGGUGAGGUAAUGGCUCACCAAGGCGUCGACGGGUAGCCGGCCUGAGAGGGUGACCGGCCACACUGGGACUGAGACACGGCCCAGACUCCUACGGGAGGCAGCAGUGGGGAAUAUUGCACAAUGGGCGAAAGCCUGAUGCAGCAACGCCGCGUGAGGGAUGACGGCCUUCGGGUUGUAAACCUCUUUUAGCAGGGAAGAAGCGAAAGUGACGGUACCUGCAGAAAAAGCGCCGGCUAACUACGUGCCAGCAGCCGCGGUAAUACGUAGGGCGCAAGCGUUAUCCGGAAUUAUUGGGCGUAAAGAGCUCGUAGGCGGUUUGUCGCGUCUGCUGUGAAAUCCCGAGGCUCAACCUCGGGCCUGCAGUGGGUACGGGCAGACUAGAGUGCGGUAGGGGAGAUUGGAAUUCCUGGUGUAGCGGUGGAAUGCGCAGAUAUCAGGAGGAACACCGAUGGCGAAGGCAGAUCUCUGGGCCGUAACUGACGCUGAGGAGCGAAAGGGUGGGGAGCAAACAGGCUUAGAUACCCUGGUAGUCCACCCCGUAAACGUUGGGAACUAGUUGUGGGGACCAUUCCACGGUUUCC